UCGAUUUGGAGUUUGUUGCCUAGAGUGAUGGGCUCCGAAGCUAACGCGAUAAAUCGACCGCCUGGGGAGUACGGCCGCAAGGUUAAAACUCAAAUGAAUUGACGGGGGCCCGCACAAGCGGUGGAGCAUGUGGUUUAAUUCGAUGCAACGCGAAGAACCUUACCUGGUCUUGACAUCCACAGAAUCUUGCAGAGAUGCGGGAGUGCCUUCGGGAACUGUGAGACAGGUGCUGCAUGGCUGUCGUCAGCUCGUGUUGUGAAAUGUUGGGUUAAGUCCCGCAACGAGCGCAACCCUUAUCCUUUGUUGCCAUCGGUUAGGCCGGGAACUCAAAGGAGACUGCCGUUGAUAAAGCGGAGGAAGGUGGGGACGGCGUCAAGUCAUCAUGGCCCUUACGACCAGGGCUACACACGUGCUACAAUGGCGUAUACAAAGGGAGGCGACCUCGCGAGAGCAAGCGGACCUCAUAAAGUACGUCUAAGUCCGGAUUGGAGUCUGCAACUCGACUCCAUGAAGUCGGAAUCGCUAGUAAUCGUGAAUCAGAAUGUCACGGUGAAUACGUUCCCGGGCCU
rnacentral:rRNA from 1 species